UCUAAACUCUUUGCUCUCUGCCUCUCCAUCCACAUUUGCCUAGAUCGGCAAGAACGAAGCAAACAGAAAGAAAAAGGUUUCCCUUUUUUUGUUUUGAAUUUUUGUUUUGUUUUGGGAAACGUCGUCGGAGGAAGAGAAGGUGUUGAAGGAGGCGAAAAAAUUGUCGUGGGAUGAUCGGGUUUUCCAUAAGAACUGGAAGGCUAGUGUGGUAAAUGAGCUUGGCAUCCGUAUAAAGUUUGUAGGAGUUGGUGAAAGUGUAGAAGACCUACAAUCCUUUGAUGCAAAGGCUUUUGUGAAUGCCAUAUUUUCGUAGCCUAAAGGGGUGGUGAGAGUCAUACUUCCAUCCCCAAUUGAAGAGGUAGAGUACUAUCAGAAGAAAGAAAUCAAUGUAGGCCGGAAGCAAAAUAAGUUAUGUCUAAAAGCACCAGGACACAAAGUUAAAACUUGCAGCGGUACAACUUGAUGUUUUAGGUGACUGCUGCUGUGCAGAGUUGAAUUGUGAGUCUUAAGUUCUAUACGUUGGCAGCUCAUUGAGAUCAUGAUAGGAAGGGGUAAACAAUGACACCACAAUCGAUUAUUUGAUGAAUUGAAUUCUUUAUUCUUUUUGGCACCUAAUAUCCAACUCAUUCCUUUGAAUGUAAUAUCAGUAAUUUACUGUAUCUUUGUUUCUGAUGCCUAAAGAUUUAAUGUAUGCCUUCAGUGGUGAAAAAUGAAGAGUUUAAUUUCCCAAA